rnacentral:rRNA from 1 species
GACGAACGCUGGCGGCGUGCUUAACACAUGCAAGUCGAACGGAAAGGCCUCUUUCGGGGGGUACUCGAGUGGCGAACGGGUGAGUAACACGUGAGUAACCUGCCCUUGACUUUGGGAUAACUUCAGGAAACUGGGGCUAAUACCGGAUAGGAGCUCCUGCUGCAUGGUGGGGGUUGGAAAGUUUCGGCGGUUGGGGAUGGACUCGCGGCUUAUCAGAUUGUUGGUGGGGUAGUGGCUUACCAAGGCUUUGACGGGUAGCCGGCCUGAGAGGGUGACCGGCCACAUUGGGACUGAGAUACGGCCCAGACUCCUACGGGAGGCAGCAGUGGGGAAUAUUGCACAAUGGGUGGAAGCCUGAUGCAGCAACGCCGUGUGCGGGAUGACGGCCUUCGGGUUGUAAACCGCUUUCGCUCAUGACGAAGCUUUGUGUGACGGUAGUGGGUAAAGAAGCACCGGCUAACUACGUG